AACGAACGCUGGCGGCAUGCCUAACACAUGCAAGUCGAACGAAGGUUUCGGCCUUAGUGGCGCACGGGUGCGUAACGCGUGGGAAUCUGCCCUUUGCUUCGGAAUAACAGUUAGAAAUGACUGCUAAUACCGGAUGAUGUCGCAAGACCAAAGAUUUAUCGGCAAAGGAUGAGCCCGCGUAGGAUUAGCUAGUUGGUGGGGUAAAGGCCUACCAAGGCGACGAUCCUUAGCUGGUCUGAGAGGAUGAUCAGCCACACUGGGACUGAGACACGGCCCAGACUCCUACGGGAGGCAGCAGUGGGGAAUAUUGGACAAUGGGCGAAAGCCUGAUCCAGCAAUGCCGCGUGAGUGAUGAAGGCCUUAGGGUUGUAAAGCUCUUUUACCCGGGAUGAUAAUGACAGUACCGGGAGAAUAAGCUCCGGCUAACUCCGUG
rnacentral:rRNA from 1 species